GGAAAAACAAGCUCUGGAGGCGUCGACAAACACUGCCGUCUGUCCGGACCUGUGGCAAAUACACAAGUCCAGUACCUCCGGUUUAAGGUCCCUAUGCACCACUCCUACAUCGUGCAUGUGGCUGACGGCAGACACCAGUUUGCGCAUGAUGCGGCUGGCCUCGGUUUCGCUGAAAUGUUGCUUUCGGCGAAUCCUCUCCAAGAGCUCCCCUCCACCGAGCAGCUCCAGCACCAGAGAGAAGGAGGCGGUUGUCCGACGUGUCCAGCAAAGACUGUCCACGCCACAGAGGAGCCAUAACGACCGUCGAUGACUAACGCGCCUGAGGGAGCAGGACGUGCGCUCGUACCUCUUGCUGACAAUUUUGACGGCGUAUUUCUGCCCGGUCUUCUUGUGCGUGCAGCGUCUGCAGAUUGAGAAGCUGCCUUCUCCCAGAGCGCUGUCCUUCAGGUCCAUCUCAUAACUCAUAUAGAAGGGCGAGUCCUGUCGAGGGGGGGGGAACAAACAAGAGUUCUCCGGUCAAAUAUUAAUGUGGACUGACAUCAGAGUGACAAACAACUGCAAACAACCUCAAUCGUUUUGUGUCUUUUCGAUUAAAUGUCUUC